UCGAGAAUCUUCCACAAUGGGCGAAAGCCUGAUGGAGCGACGUCGCGUGAUUGAUGAAGUCUUUCGGGAUGUAAAGAUCUUUUAUGAAGGAGAAAGGCCGCAAGGCUUGAUAGUACUUCAUGAAUAAGGGGUUGCUAAACUCGUGCCAGCAGCAGCGGUAAUACGAGUGCCCCGAGCGUUAUCCGGAAUUAUUGGGCGUAAAGGGUGUGUAGGUGGCAGUGUUAGUCGUGUGUCAAAGCUCCCGGCCCAACCGGGAAAAGGCAUACGAAACGGCACAGCUCGAGAGUGUGAGGGGUCUAUGGAACUCAUGGUGUAGGGGUGAAAUCCGUUAAUAUCAUGGGGAACACCGAAGGCGAAGGCAGUAGACUAGCACAUUUCUGACACUGAAACACGAAAGCGUGGGUAGCGAAUGGGAUUAGAUACCCAGGUAGUCCCUGAGCGGGCUGGCAAGGCGCAU
rnacentral:rRNA from 1 species